UUUUUACUAUAAAUAUGUUCCAUGCAAUAUUUAGGACAUAAUUAUUCUUUGAAAA
rnacentral:miRNA from 1 species